rnacentral:lncRNA from 1 species
GAAAAUCACGUGUCAACAUGUCAAGUCUAAAACAGAUUGAAAAUUAGUCAAAAGUAUUUGGUUGUACUUCAGUUUUCAACUUCUUCCUAAACUAAGAAAAUCCCGGAAUUUAUAUCCAACAUUUUGAUUACCAUUAUUCAUCGAGAUAAGGCAAACUAAUAAUGACAUUCUGAUACUCCAUAAGCUCAACACAAAAUGUGGUCUCAUUAAGAAAUUUACAAAAUUCACAAAAAGCAACCAAAAAAAUCAAAAAUCUUAUGCACGCCAAGGAUUCUAUAAUACCCUAUAAAUCAAGGUUCAACUGGUUUUUAUUUAUCUAUAUUUGGAAUAACUUGCGAUCACAGCUCACAGCUCACCUUGUUGCUUGAAAGAGCCUCCAUAAAUAUUGAUACCGCUUCUAUUGGGGGGUAAGACUCUAGCAUGGUGGUGGAAUUUCCAUCACUAUCAGACAUCUUCCUCCAGAUUUCCAGAAGUGGAAUGUGUUCCCAAGGGAAAUCUAGACAGGCCA